rnacentral:rRNA from 1 species
GUGGAUGGGUGAAGCUCCGUCGGCUUAGGAUAGCUUUGCGCCUAUCAGCUGUAGGGAGGGUAACGUCCUCUCUAGCCUUACGACGGGUAUGCGUGUUGGGAGACAUCGCCCAGAGAUGGAUCCUGAGACACGAAUACAGGCCCUUACGGGGCGCAGCAGGCGCGAAAACUGCACAAUGUGGGAAAUCACGAUGCGGGAAACCCAAGUGCCAGCACUAUGUGUUGGCUGUCCUCAAGUGUUCGUAACUUGGGAAGAAAGUGCUGGGUAAGACGGGUGCCAGCCGCCGCGGUAAUACCCGCAGCACAAGUGGUGGUCAUUAUUAUUGGGCCUAAAGCGUCCGUAGCUGACUUGUUAGAUGCCUGGGUAAAUCGAUGCGCUUAACGCAUCGAAUUCCGGGUAGACCGGCAAGCUCGAGACCGGGAGAGGUGUAGGCUACUCGAGGGGUAGGGGUAAAAUCCUGUAAUCCUUCGGGGAGGACCAGUGGCGAAGGCGCUACACUAGAACGGCUCUGACAGUGAGGGACGAAGCCCUGGGGCGCAAACCGGAUUAGAUACCCGGGUAGUCCAGGGUGUAAACGCUGCGGACUUGGUGUCGGUGAUC